UACGAAGGGGGCUAGCGUUGCUCGGAAUCACUGGGCGUAAAGCGCGCGUAGGCGGAUUGUUAAGUCAGGGGUGAAAUCCCGGGGCUCAACCCCGGAACUGCCUUUGAUACUGGGUAUCUCGAGUCCGAGAGAGGUGAGUGGAAUUCCGAGUGUAGAGGUGAAAUUCGUAGAUAUUCGGAGGAACACCAGUGGCGAAGGCGGCUCACUGGCUCGGUACUGACGCUGAGGUGCGAAAGCGUGGGGAGCAAACAGG
rnacentral:rRNA from 1 species